rnacentral:misc_RNA from 1 species
AAGGAUCAUUGUCAAAAACUGCAUAGCAGAACGACCCGUGAACUUGUUCGUUUACCGUGGGCGCUCCGUUGUGUCACUGGCACACCGGUGCUGCUUCCUGCCGGGGUGCGAGCCCGUUUUCCUAUACGGUUGCGAGCUCACACCCAUGGCCCAAUAACAAACCCCGGCGCAGAUCGCGCCAAGGAAAUUAAGUAAAGAGAUUGCUCCCCCUCCUCCCGUUUGCGGGUUGUGAUCGGGGAAAGCAUCUUGCAUAUAACAAAACGACUCUCGGCAACGGAUAUCUAGGCUCUC